rnacentral:rRNA from 1 species
UACGGAGGAUCCAAGCGUUAUCCGGAAUCAUUGGGUUUAAAGGGUCCGUAGGCGGGCAGGUAAGUCCGUGGUGAAAUCUCUGAGCUUAACUCAGAAACUGCCAUGGAUACUAUUUGUCUUGAAUAUUGUGGAGGUAAGCGGAAUAUGUCAUGUAGCGGUGAAAUGCUUAGAUAUGACAUAGAACACCAAUUGCGAAGGCAGCUUACUACACAGUUAUUGACGCUGAGGCACGAAAGCGUGGGGAUCAAACAGG